rnacentral:rRNA from 1 species
AAGUCUGGGGUGAAAUCUUGCCGCUUAACGGUAAAAUGGCCCUGGAUACUGGGUUUCUUGAGUGCAGAAGAGGCAGGUGGAAUUCGUGGUGUAGCGGUGAAAUGCUUAGAUAUCACGAAGAACAUCAGUGGCGAAGGCGGCCUGCUGGUCUGCAACUGACGCUGAGGUACGAAAGCGUGGGGAGCGAACAGGAUUAGAUACCCUGGUAGUCCACGCCGUAAACGAUGCAUACUAGGUGUUGGCCUUAGGGCCAGUGCUGCAGUUAACGCAUUAAGUAUGCCACCUGGGGAGUACGUCGGCAACGAUGAAACUCAAAUGAAUU